UACGUAGGGGGCUAGCGUUGUCCGGAAUCAUUGGGCGUAAAGCGCGCGUAGGCGGCCCGGUAAGUCCGCUGUAAAAGUCAAAGGCUCAACCUUUGAAUGUCAGUGGAUACUGUCGGGCUAGAGUCCGGAAGAGGCGAGUGGAACUCCUGGUGUAGCGGUGGAAUGCGCAGAUAUCAGGAAGAACACCGACGGCGAAGGCAGCUCGCUGGGACGGUACUGACGCUGAGGCGCGAAAGCCAGGGGAGCAAACGGG
rnacentral:rRNA from 1 species